rnacentral:lncRNA from 1 species
UUUUUAAGGUGUCCAUCAUUCGACUAUCCCAUUCAGUGCCUCCACCCAUGUUGUUUCUGAAACCAAAGAUGUAGGAGAAAGAGCAGAUGUAUGAAUCUCUAUAAGCCAAAGGAUACUAUAUACUAAUAUAUUACUGAAAAAUGCGUCAAUUUAUCCAACUGCAGCAUAUAGAAUGACACUUGAGAGAGAAAUAACAAACAAGUUUACAUUUUUCUGCGUUACAUCACGUCUAAAUACAUGCAUUCCCCCUCUCUUUUAGGUUAGAUUACAUGGAAGGUUAUUGUAGAAAUGCAUAAGAAUGGUCAAUUGCGCCACGACUACCAAUUUAACUAUUUAGUUCACAAUUUCACCAAAUGAGGCUAAGAACUGGAACCAGUGUAUUGUGAUUGUCUGAAUGCCUGACAGCCAGUUUAAAAAAAAGGAAAUUAUGACUUUUAAAAGAGUACAGUAUCCUGCCUUAGAGAAUUUUUCCAUUCACCAGAGAAAAUAGUUAUUGUAUAAGUGUCAGACAAUCCAAUGUAUGUAAGCACUUCACCAAAAGCUUAGGGCCUUUUCAUUUUUUUUUUCCUUUGCAAAGACAGGCCUUUUCAUUUGUUAUUUCCACUUAUAUCUACCUACGUACCACCUUUUCACUUUACUUUGUGUUUUCAAAGAAUUGCAAGUGAAACUUCUAUUUUUUUAUUUGCUUCCUAUACAAAUCUUUGAGAAUAGAAAAUAGAGAGGUAAGACAAGACAACAUCAACAUGUUUGUAAUUAAAAGUGAAAACAGAAAAGGUUUCUUCAAAGCAAACAAACUCUUAUUAUUCUUACAAGUAAUAAUAAUUUGAACCGUGAAGCAUAAGAACAUUGAUGGAGAAAAAAAGGCUCUGAAGAUACAAU